CCUUCUAUCGAGGUAGCGUCGGCGUAGGAGACUGCCACGUGGCAAAGAUGGGUCUUCGGGUCACAUGAAGCGGGUAUGGGCAAAUCCCGGGUCCGGGUCCUGCAGAUAUUGGACGAGCAAGGUACGGGCUUAUAGGAAGAGGAUGAAACCGGGUUGAAUACGGAUCCUAAGUUUGGGGUUUUCUUGCAGUGAAGCCAAGAAAGCUCGCUUCCGGUGUCGAGAACCAUGGAGAUGUUUUGUGGCGGAGAGCCGACGGAGAGAGAGACCGUGAGUGUGACAUUAUGACUGAAAGAAAG
rnacentral:lncRNA from 1 species